rnacentral:rRNA from 1 species
AGAGCGAACGCUGGCGGCAGGCUUAACACAUGCAAGUCGAGCGGAUGUAGCAAUACAUCAGCGGCAGACGGGUGAGUAACACGUGGGAACGUACCUUUUGGUUCGGAACAACACAGGGAAAACUUGUGCUAAUACCGGAUAAGCCCUUACGGGGAAAGAUUUAUCGCCGAAAGAUCGGCCCGCGUCUGAUUAGCUAGUUGGUGAGGUAAUGGCUCACCAAGGCGACGAUCAGUAGCUGGUCUGAGAGGAUGAUCAGCCACAUUGGGACUGAGACACGGCCCAAACUCCUACGGGAGGCAGCAGUGGGAAUAUUGGACAAUGGGCGCAAGCCUGAUCCAGCCAUGCCGCGUGAGUGAUGAAGGCCCUAGGGUUGUAAAGCUCUUUUGUGCGGGAAGAUAAUGACGGUACCGCAAGAAUAAGCCCGGCUAACUUCGCGCCAGCAGCCGC